UACGUAGGGGGCAAGCGUUGUCCGGAAUCAUUGGGCGUAAAGAGCGCGUAGGCGGCCCAGUAAGUCCGCUCUGAAAGUCAGGGGCUCAACCCCUGAAUGCGGGUGGAUACUGCUGGGCUAGAGUCCGGAAGAGGCGAGUGGAGUUCCUGGUGUAGCGGUGAAAUGCGCAGAUAUCAGGAGGAACACCGAUGGCGAAGGCAGCUCGCUGGGACGGUACUGACGCUGAGGCGCGAAAGCGUGGGGAGCAAACAGG
rnacentral:rRNA from 1 species